CUGGGAACCGAGCCCAUCCGCACUUUCUCCAUGAAACUUGAAGGGCAAUGUAUCAUUGUGGGAGAGAUACUGCAGUUUUUCCAAACAGAAACCUAGCCCUUCUUAGGGUCGGCUUCAUUUACAAGGUCAGUUGUGUUCCUUGAACGUGUUAGUAUUUAGGGGGAUGAAAACGGGCCAGGAGCCACCAAAAAGUUUCAGAUGGAGGUAUUUUAAAUGAAGAAGACAAACCUAACUUUCAACGAACUAGGAGGGGAAAAAAUCCUAGAAUCGAAUUCCUCUUUGCUCUGGAAAACAAAUCGCCUCCCUUUGGGUUUUAGAAGGACCAUCUGGCAAGUGAAUUGGCCUCUCCGCUUUCCAUCGAAGGAGCCAGGAGAAACGCUGUCUGCACGCCCCUGGCCUGGCCUUGGAGGAGUGCUUUUGAUCUGAUGGCCUUGCAGGAGGCAUGCCACCUACCUCUGCUGCCUUUCUGUUUGAAGGGCUAGCAGGCACUGGAGGGUCAGGAGCCCAACUCAUCCAAAAUCCCAGUGUGGUUAACCUGGUCUCCCAACUCCUGGACCAGUGCUCUCUGUGACAAACAAUGUGCUUCUCCAAGACAGCUGGGCUGUCACCACGGACCAAGUGCUCAAACUUCUAUAGUUGUCCAGACUAGAUUCAUGACAUGGGCAUCUUGUUAAAAUGCAAGUUCUGGGGGCUGGCCCCGUGGCCGAGUGGUUAAGUUCGUGCGCUCCGCUGCAGGCGGCCCAGUGUUUCGUUAGUUCGAAUCCUGGGCGCGGACAUGGCACUGCUCGUCAGACCACGCUGAGGCAGCGUCCCACAUGCCACAACUAGAAGAACCCACAACGAAGA
rnacentral:lncRNA from 1 species